rnacentral:rRNA from 1 species
ACGUAGGGAGCAAGCGUUGUUCGGAUUUACUGGGCGUAAAGGGCGCGUAGGCGGCAAAUCAAGUCAUCUGUGAAAUCUCCGGGCUUAACUCGGAACGGUCAGAUGAUACUGCUUUGCUAGAGUGCAGAAAGGGCAAUCGGAAUUCUUGGUGUAGCGGUGAAAUGCGUAGAUAUCAAGAGGAACACCUGAGGCGAAGGCGGGUUGCUAGGCUGACACUGACGCUGAGGCGCGAAAGCCAGGGGAGCAAACGGGA